UGCUGUGGCUGUUGUUAUCUCAAUUUUCAUCUUCAGGAAUCCUGUAACAUUCGUGGGGAUUGCAGGUUACACAAUGACUGUUGCUGGGGUAGUUGCUUAUGGAGAAGCAAAGAGAAGAUUUAGAUGAAUGAUCUUCUAGAUCUCCCAUUUUUAUUUAUUUAUUUUUGUAUUCACAUAGAAGUUAGUGAAGCUAUGUGAUGCAGAUCAUCAUAUUUUAUUUUG
rnacentral:misc_RNA from 1 species